rnacentral:rRNA from 1 species
GUGUCAGCAGCCGCGGUAAUACGAAGGGGGCUAGCGUUGUUCGGAAUUACUGGGCGUAAAGCGCACGUAGGCGGCUCAUUAAGUCAGGGGUGAAAUCCCGGGGCUCAACCUCGGAAUUGCCUUUGAUACUGGUGAGCUUGAGUCCGAGAGAGGUGAGUGGAACUCCGAGUGUAGAGGUGAAAUUCGUAGAUAUUCGGAAGAACACCAGUGGCGAAGGCGGCUCACUGGCUCGGUACUGACGCUGAGGUGCGAAAGCGUGGGGAGCAAACAGGAUUAGAUACCCGUGUAGUCC